rnacentral:rRNA from 1 species
UACGUAGGUCCCGAGCGUUGUCCGGAUUUAUUGGGCGUAAAGCGAGCGCAGGUAGUUUAUUAAGUCUGGUGUAAAAGGCAGUGGCUCAACCAUAGUAUGCAUUGGAAACUGGUAGACUUGAGUGCAGGAGAGGAGAGUGGAAUUCCAUGUGUAGCGGUGAAAUGCGUAGAUAUAUGGAGGAACACCGGUGGCGAAAGCGGCUCUCUGGCCUGUAACUGACACUGAGGCUCGAAAGCGUGGGGAGCAAACAGG